rnacentral:rRNA from 1 species
UUGUAAGUGUCUAAGGGCGCAUGGUGGAUGCCUUGGCAUCGAGAGCCGAUGAAGGACGUGGGAGGCUGCGAUAUGCCUCGGGGAGCUGUCAACCGAGCGUGGAUCCGAGGAUUUCCGAAUGGGGAAACCCAGCACGAGUGAUGUCGUGCUACCCGCAUCUGAAUAUAUAGGGUGCGGGAGGGAACGCGGGGAAGUGAAACAUCUCAGUACCCGUAGGAGGAGAAAACAAUUGUGAUUCCGCAAGUAGUGGCGAGCGAACGCGGAACAGGCUAAACCGCACGCAUGGGUAACCGGGUAGGGGUUGUGUGUGCGGGGUUGUGGGAGGAUAUGUCUCAGCGCUACCCGGCUGAGAGGCAGUCAGAAAGUGUCGUGGUUAGCGGAAGUGGCCUGGGAUGGUCUGCCGUAGACGGUGAGAGCCCGGUACGCGAAAACCCGGCACCUGCCUAGUAUCAAUUCCCGAGUAGCAGCGGGCCCGUGGAAUCCGCUGUGAAUCCGCCGGGACCACCCGGUAAGCCUAAAUACUCCUCGAUGACCGAUAGCGGAUUAGUACCGUGAGGGAAUGGUGAAAAGUACCCCGGGAGGGGAGUGAAAGAGUACCUGAAACCGUGUGCCUACAAUCCGUCAGAGCCUCCUUUUCCUCUCCGGAGGAGGGUGGUGAUGGCGUGCCUUUUGAAGAAUGAGCCUGCGAGUCAGGGACAUGUCGCAAGGUUAACCCGUGUGGGGUAGCCGCAGCGAAAGCGAGUCUGAAUAGGGCGACCCACACGCGCAUACGCGCGUGUGAAUAGUGGCGUGUUCUGGACCCGAAGCGGAGUGAUCUACCCAUGGCCAGGGUGAAGCGCGGGUAAGACCGCGUGGAGGCCCGAACCCACUUAGGUUGAAGACUGAGGGGAUGAGCUGUGGGUAGGGGUGAAAGGCCAAUCAAACUCCGUGAUAGCUGGUUCUCCCCGAAAUGCAUUUAGGUGCAGCGUUGCGUGGUUCACCGCGGAGGUAGAGCUACUGGAUGGCCGAUGGGCCCUACUAGGUUACUGACGUCAGCCAAACUCCGAAUGCCGUGGUGUAAAGCGUGGCAGUGAGACGGCGGGGGAUAAGCUCCGUACGUCGAAAGGGAAACAGCCCAGAUCGCCGGCUAAGGCCCCCAAGCGUGUGCUAAGUGGGAAAGGAUGUGCAGUCGCAAAGACAACCAGGAGGUUGGCUUAGAAGCAGCCACCCUUGAAAGAGUGCGUAAUAGCUCACUGGUCAAGUGAUUGUGCGCCGAUAAUGUAGCGGGGCUCAAGCACACCGCCGAAGCCGCGGCACAUCCACCUUGUGGUGG